rnacentral:rRNA from 1 species
GACGUAGGGCGCGAGCGUUGUCCGGAUUUAUUGGGCGUAAAGAGCUCGUAGGCGGCUCAGUAAGUCAGGUGUGAAAACUCCAGGCUCAACCUGGAGACGCCACUUGAUACUGCUGUGGCUAGAGUCCGGUAGGGGGAGCAUGGAAUUCCUGGUGUAGCGGUGAAAUGCGCAGAUAUCAGGAGGAACACCAGUGGCGAAGGCGGUGCUCUGGGCCGGAACUGACGCUGAGACGCGAAAGCGUGGGGAGCAAACAGG